rnacentral:rRNA from 1 species
CAGUCGCCACGGUAAUACGUAGGGGGCAAGCGUUAUCCGGAAUUAUUGGGCGUAAAGAGUGCGUAGGUGGUCUACUAAGCGCGAGGUGAAAGGCAAUGGCUCAACCAUUGUUAGCCUUGCGAACUGGCAGACUUGAGUGCAAGAGAGGAAAGCGGAAUUCCUAGUGUAGCGGUGAAAUGCGCAGAUAUUAGGAGGAACACCGGCGGCGAAGGCGGCUUUCUGGAUUGUAACUGACACUGAGGCACGAAAGCGUGGGUAGCAAACAGGAUUAGAUACCCCAGUAGUCCCUGUCUCUUAUACA